AUUAUCGACGGGUAUGUCAUUAAUUGCCAUUGUUCACGGACACAGAAAAGAGAGAAUAUUUAGUGAGAGCAGGCUGAGCAGUAUUCAAGACAUAAGUAGUCGAAUCAGGAUAUGAUUCCUCUGAGCGACCGACUGCGCGGCCAUGUUGAGUGUACCAGCGUGCGUUCUGUUGAAUGGAGAAACGAAUAUGUUGCCCUCACACAAAUGGUGUUUAUCUUGAAUAGUAAUGCCUUGCGAUCAUCCUUACGUCAUUACUUUGCGUCUGUAUGCGAGAAACAAACAACCGUUUUGUUCACAAAUGAGUAAAUGUUAACGUGAAACAUGGAACCUUUAAAACAAAACGCAAAAACUAAAGGUCGGAUUAAAGGAAAAUACUUCAAUAACAAAUGUGCACAUGGUGGUUUAACACACAACGACAAAAAGAAAAGAAAAUGGGUUCCUGAGGACAAAGUUUUUGAUGGCAGUUUAAAAGAAGGUCAGGGAUUUGCCUUCAAAAGGAAGAAGAAGAUAAAACAUGAAUAAAACAAACUUCUCUGAAAAGAGGAAGAAAAUGCAAGAAUCACCAAUCCAGUUAGAGGAGGAAUAUCCCGAGCAUCUGAGACAUCUGUACCUGGCUGAAAAAGAACGACUAGAUGAAGAAGAAGAAGAAGAAAAGAUGUAAAGAGAGAACAUUCGAUGAAGAGACAGAAGCAGAUGAUGAACUAAAAACAGUGUUGGAUUUACCUUUUACUGAGAAACACAUCUCAAACACAACGACUGACCAAACUACCGUCUCUGAUUCAGAUGAUGAACCAGCAGAGACUGACAGAGACAGUAACAGAUAGUAAAAGAAAUAUAUAUACACACACACACACACUAAGCCACAUUUCUGAUUUGUGUCAUCAGCUCCCAUAAGACUCCAUUCAUCCAAAGGAAGCAGAAAAUGUCAUCGUAUCAGAAGACUAAGCAAGAAUAUGAAAGGAUAAAGGAGGAACGUGCAAGAAAACAAGAGGUGAGGAAAUAAAAACUGACAAAUGCACUUCUUUAAGCCAUCAGUAUGAUGGAAUUGUUGUACAGUUUUCAGUUUCCUAAUCAAUCUCCUUUGUGAUGUCAUUAAGGAAGACUCGUUAUGUCAUGUAAACCAACACAUUUUAAUCAUCCUUUACAUUCUUUGGCAAAUGAUUGAUGCAUGUUUUAUUGUGCGUGUCUGUGUAGGAAUUCUUGAAAGACAAAGCUCAGUGAGAGGAGGCGCUGAAAAUAUAUAAGGAGAAGAAAAUGGCCACAUAUCAGUUGUUGAAGAGAAAAACCAAGAAAGGUCAGCUCAACCUCAAUCUGCAUAUAGAGCUAUUGCUGCAAAAGAUUCAAGCUCAGCACAAAUAAUUCAGUAUCAACCAUAAAAUGAGACUGUUUAGAGUUAAAAUAGACCAUCACACAAUAAACUCUGCAGUUUGGGUGAGUGUUUUUUUCGUUUUUGACCACAAGGACGUGCAUGCCAUAUAUUUGUCUUUCUCAGUAAUAUUUCUUGUAAACACAAUUUUAAAUUGUUUUACUUGAGUUAAGUUUGUGAAAAAAAAUAUGAUGCUUUAGAUCUAUAUUUUAUUAUUAUAUUUAGCUAUAAAAUGCUGUCAAAAGCUGAACUGCCUAAAAGUGCUUUCUUAAACAUUUGUAAAAUUUUGCAUAAUUUCAUUUUUCUUCUAACCGUUCUUUUAAAAAUAUAUUUUUGUGACAUGAUGAAUGGAUGGUAUAUUUUGUUUAUUAAUUGAAGAGCAUUGAGAUCAAAAUAAAAGGCCAAAUACUAAAAUACAAAUACUCAAAUUUGUUGAUAAAGCAUUUAAACUUUCAUAAAAACAGAAGGCAUUGAUGCACUAGUAGAAAUAUAAGAAACUCUCAGUAGAACCAGUAACUGUAAUAUGACUAUAUCUCCUCAGAGUCAUAUGGCUCCUCCCACUUUAUUUGACUACUCCCCCACAUCAUCAAAGUCUGUUUAAAAAAACAAAAGCAUAUUUUUUCAUUAAUAUAAUAAUUAUAUCAUUAUUUAGUUUAAAUUGGGUUUAAAUUUUAAAUAUAAUGAUUGAAAGUAGAUUAUGUAAAAAGGUAACAAUAACCAACCCAGCAUGUUUCUCUCAUCUUCAUUGCUGUUCUUCACAUCAUCAUCAUACUCCUCCUGAUCUCCCUCUGAUACACAUGAAAUAAAACCUCACAUUGUAAUGUGUAACACAGCUUGUGUCACUGAUCUCUUUCUCCUCAUGACUGUCUGAGACUAUUCAAUUAAACCUGAUAAACCUGAUGAUUCAUUAAUGAUUUAAAUACAUGUUCAUUAUGUAACAUGAUAUAUAUAUAAUACAGCAGGUGAUGAUAAAAAGCAGUUCUGUGUGACUCACCUGUUACACAUUUAAAGUUCUGUCCAGUAAUUAUGACAUCAUCAUAAUGCUCCGGUGAGUCCACUACACAUACAUGAAGAUAUAAACAAAACAAAUGU
ensembl:lncRNA